rnacentral:rRNA from 1 species
AAUAGAUACCCCGGUAGUCCUGGCCGUAAACGAUGACCACUAGAUGCGGGAGGUAUCGACCCCUUCCGUGUCGCAGCUCACGCGCUAAGUGGUCCGCCUGGGGAGUACGGUCGCAAGACUAAAACUCAAAGGAAUUGACGGGGACCCGCACAAGCAGCGGAGCGUGUGGUUUAAUUCGAUGCAACGCGAAGAACCUUACCUACCCUUGACAUGCCAGGGAGCCGGAUGAGAGUUCGGUGUGUCCGAAAGGGAGCCUGGACACAGGUGCUGCAUGGCUGUCGUCAGCUCGUGUCGUGAGAUGUUGGGUUAAGUCCCGCAACGAGCGCAACCCUUGUCACUAGUUGCUACGGAUAGGGCACUCUAAUGAGACUGCCGGUGACAAACCGGAGGAAGGUGGGGAUGACGUCAAGUCCUCAUGGCCCUUAUGGGUAGGGCUUCACACGUCAUACAAUGGUACAUACAGAGGGCCGCAACCCGCGAGGGGGAGCUAAUCCCAGAAAGUGUAUCGUAGUCCGGAUUGGAGUCUGC